GUUGGUGUAGCUCAGUGGUAGAGUGCAUGCUUAGAAUGUAUGAUGGGUUCAAUCCCCAGCUAGCU